GUCAGGGGUCAGCCACCCAGCUACACAGCAAAACAGGGAGUAAGAGUGAAAGUAAGAUUUGCAGAGGUAAGAGAAAGAUACAAGACCAAAGGUAAAAGGUAGAUGCAGUAACAAAAAAAAAAAAAAAGAAAGAAAGAAAAGCUGGCUAGAAACAAGUCAAGCUAUGGCCAGGCAUUUAUAACUAAGAAUAAGCCUCCGUGUCAUAAAAAUAAAAUUCCUGCAGCAACGGAGGAGACCAGGCUCACUCUGAAUACAGAAUGAACAAGUGUAAGUCAAUGGCCAAGGUACAAAAUGGCAGUCAGUGAUGGAAAACUGCUGAGCAGAAUCAUCAUGAUGAUUUACUUCAAAAGGUCAUACGACCCAGUGGUUAUGAAUGACGAGACACAGGCAAACUAUCUCCGUAAGCAACAGGAAAGGGUUUUCCCUCGACUCCUAAUUUCAUGACAAAGCUUUAGACUUCAUGGAGCCUCGUCCCCUGCUCAUCUCAACCAGAAAGCAAACUGCACUAAUAUAAAGUGCAUCAAAUAGCAUCUGUAUGUUUGUGGGACUUUGUGCAAAACAGACCGUAGGAAUCUGAGAGGAAACUAUGGUUAAGUGGAAGAGGAAAGGCAUGCUUGGAAAACACUGUGCUCCUGAGCAAAGAAAACAACAAUUAUGUGAAAAGCCUAUUGUAUUCUGCGCAGAAGUUCUUCCGGAACCGGUCAUUUAGCAUUUCCUAAAAGUCAGCUCUCGAGUGGUUUAAAAUAGAACAGAUGACACAGACUUUCCACCCUGAUGCAGCACACUUUGCCGGUGCGGCCCAGGAAUGCAAGGCCAGGAGCUCAUUUCUGGAUUGUGGUGUUCAGCCAGGUAAAUCUAGACCACCUUGAGUUCUGGGUCUUUGGGUCCAGAUUGUCUGGCUGCCAGUUAGAAGCCUUGGCUCCGCUGCUUGGCCUUAGAGGCCCAGGAGGAAACCACUGGCCAGAGCGACUGCAGGAGGCCAGGGAGCUUUGGGCCUUUGAACCGAGCCUCACUCCCCUAAGAUUUGAAUGACAGCUAGAAUACGAGUUCCACCCUCACCCCCGGUUACAAGGCAUGUGUCCCUGUCCAAUCAACAAUGACAUGAAAACAAGCAAAAAGUUUCCCAUUAAUUUUCAGUCUAAUUAUAAAGAUAUAUUUAAUUCACUGGAAACAAGUAGAAGCUCUAACUCUACAGAGUGGGGGUAACUUUCUCAAUGGCAGCGUCUGAGAAGUGUGGAGCAAUUUGGAGGGAGCUUGCUGGAGACCUGGUUUCAGCUUUGAUCGAGCAGCUUGUUGAACUUCAACAAAGGACCUAACUUCUUUGGGCCCCAAUUUAUGUAUCUUUAAACUGGGUGUGUUUAGGAGCCCCUUUAUUUGCUUUAUCUCAAGAAUGUAUUUUUUUUUAAAAAUCAUAUGCACAUAUGCAUACCUCCUUCAUAAAAUGUUUGGCAAAACAGCUCCGCGAGAUGUUGGUUAGUCCAUGUGGUGCCAUGACAAGCGCUUGAAGCUGUGUAAUUUACAAAGAAAAGAUAUGUAUUGUGGGUUUGAGCUAGGGAAUCUAAGGCCAAGAUGCCUGGAUGUGGUGCCCGGUCAUGGUCUUUCCUGUGUUCAUGUCAGAAGUCAGAAGGGGCAGAGGGAAACUAUCAAGCCCUUCUGCAACAGAACCGUCCAUUCACUAGGGCAGAACCCUGGUGUCCCAAACACUUCCCCAAGUGCCCCACCCCCAACAGUGUUGCAGUGGGGAUUAAGCUUUCGACACCCGAGUUGGGGACAGGACACAUUCAGAACACAGCAGAUAUUAACACAGGACAGCGGGGAAAUGAAGGCUAAGGGAACUCCUUUCUUUCCCCAAUGGCUAAGCUAUGGCGCAAGGUGUGAUCUUGGAGGAUCUCCCCAAGAUGCCACAUAUGCUUCCUACCCAACUUCAACCACCUUUAAUUUGCCAGAAUGUGAACACCUCUAUAUGAGAAAGAUAAGCCUUGCAGGAAGAGUGCAUUGCCUACUUGAACCCUUGACUAAUAUGGGUUAUACUUUGUUAUUCACCUAUACAAUAAUCCCUCUCUUUUGUAGUUCUCAGAGGAACGAUAUAAGAGCACUGAGUCUUACAUGGAUGGAGACGGUGUCUGAAUUUCAUUCUACAGACCAGACUUGUUCAUAAGAACAGUUUGUCUUCCCUAUCUGUGCCCCAUCAAUGGUGGAGAAUGUAACCAGAACAUAGAGUGAUGUAGAUCUGACCUACCACAUGCAAUUCCCUAGGACUGCAGGACAAAUCAGUCAUUAUACCAGUCACCUGACACAGACAAAAAGGCAGCCCCCUUCAUGACUUCUCCAGAAUGACUUAUGGGUACAGACCGGUCCCAUGGCUGUCCCACCCACAGACUGGUUAUUGGGACAUAUUAAGAUCAACAAAUCCCUAUCCAUCAGGACAGAAUGGCUAUUUUUAAAAUCUGCAAAUGUAAACAAUAAGCAAGACCGUUGGUAGCCAACACAAAACAGAGAAGAUACUAGCUGCACCAAGAUUUCAAUGUAGGGUACAUUCUCUAAAACUCAUAAAGAUCCAAGACAGGUCUUGGAUUCAAAAUCACUUCUAUUUCCUGUUCAAUUUUCUAUGGAUGCCUCAACUAGGAAUUCUGCUCUUGGUUUUCUGACAAGUGACCUUCCAAAACAAUGUGAGUUUAUCGAUA